CCUACGGGAGGCAGCAGUGAGGAAUAUUGGUCAAUGGCCGAAAGCCUGACGCAGCGACGCCGCGUGAGGGAUGAAGGUCUUCGGAUCGUAAACCUCUGUCAGCAGGGAAGAACGGUCACUGUGCUAAUCAGCAGUGAAUUGACGGUACCUGCAAAGGAAGCACCGGCUAACUCCGUGCCCGCAGCCGCGGUAAUACGGAGGGUGCGAGCGUUAAUCGGAAUUACUGGGCGUAAAGCGCUCGUAGGCGGUAUGUCAAGGCAAGGGUGAAAUCCCCGCGCUCAACGUGGGCACUGCCUUUGAAACUGGCAAACUUGAGUGUGUGAGAGGAUAGUGGAAUUCCAGGUGUAGGAGUGAAAUCCGUAGAUAUCGGGAGGAACAUCAGUGGCGAAGGCGACUAUCUGGCACAUAACUGACGCUGAGGAGCGAAAGCGUGGGUAGCAAACAGGAUUAGAUACCCGUGUAGUC
rnacentral:rRNA from 1 species